rnacentral:rRNA from 1 species
GUGGGGAAUAUUGGUCAAUGGGCGCGAGCCUGAACCAGCCAAGUAGCGUGCAGGAUGACGGCCCUAUGGGUUGUAAACUGCUUUUAUCAGGGGAUAAAGUGAGGGACGUGUCCCUUUUUGUAGGUACCUGAUGAAUAAGGACCGGCUAAUUCCGUGCCAGCAGCCGCGGUAAUACGGAAGGUCCGGGCGUUAUCCGGAUUUAUUGGGUUUAAAGGGAGCGCAGGCUGAUUGUUAAGCGUGACGUGAAAUGUAGCCGCUCAACGGCUGAACUGCGUCGCGAACUGGCAGUCUUGAGUGAGUACGACGUCAGCGGAAUUCGUGGUGUAGCGGUGAAAUGCUUAGAUAUCACGAAGAACCCCGAUUGCGAAGGCAGCUGACGAGUCCUUUACUGACGCUAAAGCUCGAAGGUGCGGGUAUCGAACAGG